CCUGCGGGCUGAACUUCUAGCAUCUGUCCCUGUUUUGGCCCUAGGAGAUGCCUGUUUUUUUUUUGUUGUUGUUUGUUUGUUUUGUUUGUUUUUGUUCUUGUUUUUGUUUUUCUGGGUAGUGUGCUUCUCUUGUUUCCAGAAGAGUGGUUUUAUUCAUCAGAGGGAAGUCAUUUGGAUGCUGGCAGGUCUUGGCCUGCCUCCCAAUUCUCUGCAUAUUCAUUAUCUGCAGAAAAAUAGUGAACACAGAGCCCUACAGCCCAAGAAGAGUCACACAGACAAGCCACUAAAAGGCUUGGAGACUCAAAAAAAUGAAGUGCUGAAAUGUGUUAACCACAUUUCUUUAAGCAUACUACAACACACAUACACAAACACAGAGAGAAUUACAAACACACAAUGCCACACACAAAGGCUGACAUCCAACAAUCGCAACACUCCCCCAGAAACACACAUCUUUGCAUCUCCUGAGGCUGCUUGGUUCUGCAGGAGGCCUCACCUGGGAGAGAAUGGUCCUGGGGAACAAAGAUGGGCUCUACCUAGAAAUCACGGUGGGACAAAAUUCAAAAGAACUCACCACUACAACCAUUAGGCAGGCAUGAGGAAUUUUGUAGAUCCUAUUAUAUCAUUAUGAAUUUCAUGGUGCAUCCUGGUUCUCUGCCUGAAGUUUCUUCAGGAUGGCUCAUGUCUGCCCUACCCUAGGGUCAUUGGACUAUGCCAUGGAUCCCACAGAGAAGACAAGUUAUAGUCCAUCACUGAAGCACCUGAACGGAGGUCUCCUUCUUUGCCAAGCCACAGAGACUUAUCACUAGGCAAUGGUGACAUUCAUUGUGAUGCUAGCCAUAGCUCACAAUCAGGCCUGGUGCCCUGACACUGGUGCAUUCUCAUUCAGAAGGCAGGCUUGGGUACUCAACUGUCAGAGCUGUCAGCCUGCCUAAGCAAAGAAAAACAGUACAGACAGAGCAGAUGUGGUAUUGGAAAAAAAGGCUGCCUGAAAAAAAUCCACUACAGGACCCUAAAAGUCUGAAUCUCAGAGCCGCUUCAGGCUGUCUCCGUAGUUGGUCCUGCUGGAGAAGGAGGCAUUUUGAGACUCUGAGAUAGUUGCUGAAAUCUGCUCUUCUGACUCCAUUCCAGAAAAAGCCUGUGUGCAAGAAUCGUGUCUUGGGGGAUUAGAAUAUUUUCUGGUGUGUUUUUGAGUGUUCUUUGGGUGUUGGAGUCAUAUCUGAGAGCCCAGAGGUGAGUCUCAGUGAAGGAAGGCUAGGCUCCCUUCAUCCUGUGCCAGGCAGUGGCUCUCAGGAAAGGCAGGAACCAUGACAAAGGCAAGUCCAAUGUGGAGCCAUGUUUUCAUAUCUCGGACUCACUCGUAGCUGGUGCAGUUGAGGAUGAGACAAUGUCAACGAGACCAUUUGUGGCAAUGGCAAGCCUGAACAGUGUGUCCAGUAGUGGUGUUGAGGGCACUGUGAAUUCCCCAAGAAAGCAAAGAAAAAUGAAGGCUUAUGUGAAAGAAUAUGCUGGAGUCAAAGCAAUGUUCAAUGAUUCCUGUCAAAGGACCCAAAAGCCUACUGCAACGAUGUCAGCACCCACAACGAAACAACGACUCACAACCUGGAGUGCAGCCAGCUUACCUGAAAUUCCUUUUGCUCUCUGAAAUCCCAGGCAGCAAAAUAAUCUGUGUCAAGAAGCAGUCACAUCCAUUAACAGCCCAAUCAAAGAGAACCUCCACAAUGUGAAGGCCAUGCAGAUGAAAUGAAACAGAGGCUAGAUUACCAGACAAAACCUAGAUAUGGCUGCCUGCUUCUCAUCCUACAGUAAUCAUGCAGCCUUCUGAGAGAAGUGCGAGAACAACAGUUUCCUCGUUGGGGGAAGUAACAGAAAUUUAUGCAUUUAAAAGUAUCAAAGCUGCCCAGUCAUUAAAAUGUGACAGUGUUUAGAAGGAAACACUCAUGCAAUGGAUUCCCAUGACUGUCGUUCUCCAUGAACUGGGAAAUGUUUAGUAUGGAAGUCAUUGAGCCAGAACCAGAAAACCCUAUGCCAAUGAGGAAUAUGGAAUCAGGAAAAGAAGAGGCGAGUGUGGAGGCCACAUCCCACCCAGCAUCAAUCAGUUCCAUUUCCAUUUGGAAUUUGCCAGAAUGGCCCCAAUUUGUACUCCAAAUGUUUCUUGCACAUUGUAGUACUCCCCCCUGAACACGUGGUCAUAGUGUGGACUGCUUGUGCACUUGAGGAAAUGUGGGGAUGCAGUUGGAAUCACCUUCUGUGUCAUCUGUCUUCAUUUUUUUUGUAGGUGAAGUUUUGAGAACCUAUCCACCCCUCACCAUAUUAUAUCCUCAUCCAUGUCUGACCUUAUUGCUGCUCAGAUUCUAUGUCCCAGGAUAAAAUGCCAAGAUGAUGGAGGAGUGCCCCCUAAGGAUGUAAAGCACCUGCUUGGUUGGGAACAGAAUUCAAGGUUAAUUUUAGGGGCGCUGCAGACAAGACUGCUAGUGUCUUCCCCUGGGUUGGCCACAGGGCAAUGAAAUACUGGGAGAUGAUAGUUCUUGGGUGUGGUGUGCUCCUCUUCUUUCUAGAAAUGUGACUGUUUUUCAAGAGGGAGGCAAUUUGGACAAUGAUUCGUCUCAGCCCACCUCACAAUUCACUGCAGGUUCAGGUUUUACAGAAAAAUAAAGAACAUGGAGUCUUAAAGUCACACAGACAUGUCAGCAAAAAGUAGGUAGACUCAAGAAAAAGAAGCUCUGAAAUUCAUUACCACAUUCCUUUAAGCAGACUCCACUUACACACACACACACACACACACACAAAAUGCCACACACACAGGCAGAUAUUCAACACUCACAAACUUCCACAGAAUGACACAGGUUCAUAGCUCCUGAGGCUGCGUGGUUCUGCAGGAAUCUGCACUUGGGAGAGAGCAGUCCUAAGGAAGAGAGGAGGGCUGUACCAAGAAAUCAGAGUGGGGUAACUUUCAAAAUGACUCACCCUACAACAUCUAGGCAAGCCUGAGGAAUCCUGCAGAUCCUUUUGGAUCCUUAGAUAGUUCAUGGUUUAUUCCCUGGGUUGUGCUUGAUGUUUCUUCAGGCUAGCUCAUGUCUGCCUUCUCCCAUGAUCAUGGGACUAUCCCUUGGAUUCCACAGAGAAGAUAGGCGAGAGUCCACCAGCGACGCACCUGUACGUAAGUCUCCCUCUCUGCCACAGUGCAGGGACUUGUAGCUAGGAAACGGUGACAUUCACUGUGACGCUAGCCAGAGAUCACCAUCAGGUUUGAUUCACUGAGACUAGCACAAGUGCAAUAGUGAGGCAGUCUCAGGUGCCUGGCUGUCAUAGGUUUCAGUCUGCCUUAGCAGAGGAAAAUGGUACAGGCAGAGCCGGCCUGGUAUCAGGAAAAAGGCUUCCUGUGCAAACCCACUGCGAGACCCUAAAUGUCUCGAUCUCAGGGCACCUUCAGUCCAUCUCCAUGGCUGGGUCUCAGAUAGAGGAGGUGGCAUUUUGAGACUGUGAGGUGGUCUCUGGAAACUGCUCUUCUGACUUCAUUCCUGAAAGAGGCUGUAUGCAAGAAUCCAGUCCUUUGGGUAUUGGUUCUUUGGAUGAUAGAAUCAUACCUGAGACCCCAGAGGCAGAUGUCAGUGAAAGAUGGCUGGGAACUUAACCUCACUGACUCCCUUCAUCCUGGGCCUAGCAGGGGCUCUCUGGGGAAGACAGAAACCAUGAUAAAGGCAAGUCCAACAUGGAUCAGUGUUUUCACACCUCAGCUUGGCCUCUCACAGGUGCAGAUGAAGUUGAGACAGUGUCUCAGAAGCCAGUGGUGGUGAUGUCAAGCCUGAAAAGAUGUCCAGUAGUUCUGUUGAGAGUGUUGUGAAUUCCUUGAGAAAGCAAGUAAAUCAAGGAUCACCCUGAAAGAACAAGUUGCCUGUGCAUUUUUGCCUGUGUGUCACAGGAAUGUUCACUCUUCUUGUGAGAGAACCCAAAACCCUCUUGAAAAGUGUAAACAACCUCAGUCCCCAGAACAAGGCAAUGACCCAAAACCUGUAGCACAGCCAGCCUACUCAAAGUCACUUGUGCUGUCUGAAAUCUUAAGAGCUAAAUAAUCUGUGGUGAAAGCCAGUCCCAUCAAGCAACAGUCCAGUGCAAGAGGUCCUCCACAAAGAGAAGGCCAUGCAGAUGAAAUGAAACGGAGGGUAGAUUACCAGGCAAAAGCCAGACACAGCAGCAUGCUUCUCAUCCUACGGGAAUCAUGCAACCCUCCGAUAUAAGUGAAAGAACAAGAGUUUUUUUGCUGGCAGCUAUAAUGGGAAUUUACAGUUUUAAAACUAUCGAAACUGCCAAGUCAUUAAAACAUGAGUGUUUAGAAGGAAACAGUCACACAGUGGGUUCCCAUGAGUAUCAUUCUCCAUGAAUUGGGAAACGUUUAGUGUGAAACUUCUUGACCCAGACCCAGGAAACCCUAGGCUGAUGAGGACAUGGAAGUCAGGAAAAGAUGAUGCAAGUCUGGAGACUACAUUCCAUCCAGUAUCAAUCCAUUCCAUUCUCAUUUGACUUCAUGUACAAAAACCUUAAAAUCAGGAGUUUUCCAGGAUAGUCCCAAUUUGCACUCCAAAUAUUACUUGCACAUUGUAGUACUCCCACCUGAACAUCAGCCCAUGGUGUCAACUACUUGCACAAUUAAAUGAAUGUGGGGAUGGAGUUGUAAGCAUUUCCCAUGCCAUUUGUCUUCAUUUUUAUUGCAGGUGAAGUUGAAGGACCUCAUUCACCCCUCACCAUAUUAUAUCCUCACCCCUAUCUGACCUCAUUGCUGCUCACACUCUGUGUCCUGGAAUGAAAUCCCAGGAUGAUGGAGGAGUAACCCCUGCUUGGCUAGGAACCAAAUUUGAGGUGAAUUUGUGGGACCCUGUCCACUCCUCACCACAUUGUAUCCUCACCCCAUCUGAACUUAUUACUGCUCACACUCUAUGUCCCAGGAUGAAAUCUUACAUCAUGGCAGAGUGCCCCUUCAUGAUGUGAAGCACUGCUGGACUGACAACCGAAUUGAAGAUAAAUUCAAGGGGCCCCAUGGACAGUACUGCUAGUGUCUCUACCUGGGUUGGCCACAGGACAAUAAAACACUGGAAGAUGUC